ACGCUCGACACCUACGGGAGGCAGCAGUGGGGAAUAUUGCACAAUGGGGGAAACCCUGAUGCAGCAACGCCGCGUGAGUGAAGAAGUAUUUCGGUAUGUAAAGCUCUAUCAGCAGGGAAGAAAAUGACGGUACCUGACUAAGAAGCCCCGGCUAACUACGUGCCUGCAGCCGGCGGUAAUCUGAGGCGGGCUGGCAAGGC
rnacentral:rRNA from 1 species